rnacentral:lncRNA from 1 species
GGCAGUCCAGCCGCAGGGGCCACCCGAACAGUCUCUCCUCCUCACAGAAGCCUGGAGCUGGGCAUCCAAGAAGAAGCAGCCUCAUUUGUUUUCUGGUGUCAUCGUAGGUGGCCACCUAUGGCUUUUGGGCCUUCAUCUCCUCGUCCUCCAGGCAGCACAAGCCAUUGUGGAAUCUCCACCAGGUGUACAGAACGGUGCCUCUGCGUCCUGCCACUCAGGACCUCUCAAGUCCCCGAUGUGAUGGCUCCUCAGCAUGAUCAGGAGUGAGCGUAAUUCAGACCUAUUUAGAUCCGUCAGCCCACGGACCAGGGGGACCUUGAGCAGGACAGUCUUUUGUCUCCAAGCAGUCAUUCCCUGUUAUACAAGCAAGAGUCAGGAGGAGGAAUGGUUUUGGCAUCAUCCCCCACAGACAGCAAUGGGGCCUUUAGGCCUGGAAGGAAGGACCAGGCUGCGGCUGGCAUAUGGAGGUUGAGCCCUGGGCACGGGGCAUCAGCUUCACCCGGCUGGGGAUGCCUUCUGCUGGGUUUGUCCAUCUGGCACCAGCUGGCUUCCCAGCACCGCCCCCACAACCAACCAGACUCCUCCUUCUGCUGUUGCCAUGGCAAUUGGCUGCCAUAUUGUACCUCAGAGCACUAGCUCCUAUCUGGAUUUUCCCGCGGGGUUCCUAGAGGGUGGGAGAUGGGUCUCCAGGGAUUUAUCCCUUUCCCCUGAUAUCUAUCCAAUAAAAAUUCAUAAUAACAUAUGAUUUU